GGACUCACACAAGCGGUGGACCAUGUGGCUUAAUUCGACAGUAAACGAAGAACCUUACCAGGACUGGAAAUCUAGACGAAAUCUCUAUGAAAGUAGAGACCCCGCAAGGCGGCUAGACAGGUGCUGCAUGGUUGUCGUCAGUUCGUGUCUUGAGACGUACCGUUAAUUCGGGUAACGAACGCAACCCUUGCCCUGUGUUUUAAAUGUCACAGGGGACUGCCCGAGAUAAUUGGGAGGAAGGCGAGGAUGACGCCAAAUCAGCAUGGCCCUUUGAUGUCCUGGGCUGCACACAUGGUACAAUGGUCGGUACAAUGGGCUCGAAGCCGCAAGGCGGAGAAUAAUCCCACCAAAGCCGAUCUCAGUUCGGAUUGAGGGCUGAAAUUCGCCCUCAUGAAGCCGGAAUCGCUAGUAAUCGCCAAUCAGCUACGUGGCGAUGAAUACGUUCCUGAGUCUU
rnacentral:rRNA from 1 species